CCCCUGCAGCGCGGCCACUGCCCGGUCCACGUUCUGCUGCUUCCGGCUGCUGAUAACGACGUGGGCCCCGUCCCGGGCCAGACGCCGGGCGAUGGCGAAGCCGAUCCUGCGGCAGAGAGAGGUGCCUGUCAAUGCCAGACUCUAGGUGGGGCCGCUUGACUGGGGCAGCCCAGAGCCCUGGGCGGCUGAAGUGGCGCCGUUGAGCCAGGGCCAGCAGGGACAGGAGACCGGCAGAAGUGAGGCCAAGGCAAGAGGAUUCGGAGGCGCUGCAGGCCGGCCACGUGGUUCCUUUCUUCGGGGGUCAGACUUUGCCCGGGAGUGAGGUCUGAGGUCUAAGGACGCCGGCCGGACGCAAAGGCCAAGGGAACGUCAAGAUGGACCUCCAUCUCCAGGAAAGUCUGGGUCUACAUAUGUGAUAGCUCACAAGAGGGCAAAUGUUUUGAGAUUGCCCAUGGAAGUGAGGCCUGUGGUCCCCGCGGAGUCAUCAGGCCUGGAGGGCCGACUCUGAUCACUAUGGUAACCACUGUGCAGGGAAAAAGAUCCUGACUGGACAAGACUUCUGGAACCCUCCACCCCAAGAGGACUGCCCCAUUGUACAGGGCCUGAGUGGUAGCAAGAGAGAUAGAGACAGCCAGCGAGAGAGGGAACAACAAGCAGGAGGAAUGGGAGAGGAA